UACGUAGGGUCCAAGCGUUAUCCGGAAUCACUGGGCGUAAAGCGUGCGUAGGUGGCGUGUUAAGUGUGAUGUUAAAACGUGGGGCUCAACCCUGUCGGUGCAUCACAUACUGGCAUGCUAGAGGACGGCAGAGGCAAGUGGAACUCGUAGUGUAGCAGUGAAAUGCGUAGAUAUUACGAAGAACACCAAUGGCGAAGGCAGCUUGCUGGGCCACUCCUGACACUGAGGUACGAAAGCGUGGGGAGCGAACAGG
rnacentral:rRNA from 1 species